CAGUAGCCGCGGUAAUACGAAGGGGGCUAGCGUUGUUCGGAAUUACUGGGCGUAAAGCGCACGUAGGCGGAUCGAUCAGUCAGGGGUGAAAUCCCAGGGCUCAACCCUGGAACUGCCUUUGAUACUGUCGAUCUGGAGUAUGGAAGAGGUGAGUGGAAUUCCGAGUGUAGAGGUGAAAUUCGUAGAUAUUCGGAGGAACACCAGUGACGAAGGCGGCUCACUGGUCCAUUACUGACGCUGAGGUGCGAAAGCGUGGGGAGCAAACAGGAUUAGAGACCCGCGUAGUCCCUGUCCUUAUACA
rnacentral:rRNA from 1 species